GACAGAGGGUGCAAACGUUGUUCGGAUUUACUGGGCGUAAAGCGUGUGUAGGCGGCUUGGCAAGUUGGCUGUGAAAGCCCACGGCUCAACCGUGGAAGCGCACCCAAAACUGCUUCGCUCGAGUCUCGGAGAGGAAGGUGGAAUGCUUGGUGUAGAGGUGAAAUUCGUAGAUAUCAAGCAGAACACCUGCGGCGAAGGCGGCCUUCUGGACGAUGACUGACGCUGAGACACGAAAGCGUGGGGAGCAAACAGG
rnacentral:rRNA from 1 species